rnacentral:rRNA from 1 species
AUGGCGACGCAAGACGUUCCAGGAGGAUCUCGGAAAGGAAAAGAGCCGGUCGAAGAUCUGCUAAGUAGAUUGAAUCUAUAGGAGGAGGAGGAGGACAAGUUUGUGUGGGAGGAGGAAUUCAAGGAUGAGCCGGUUGCGGUGAAGUGGCUCGCCAUCGCAAAAGUGCACACAAACAAGAGUUUUAGUCCGUCAGCGCUAUACUCCGACAUGCGGGCAGCCUGGAACCCCGCAAGAACUGUUCGCUGGCGUAAGAUCGAGGACAACCUCUUUACAGUCCAGUUCGGAUGCCUAGGGGAUUGGAAUACGACCAUGAAUAUGGGGCCAUGGCUGUUUCGAGAUCAGGGUCUGCUGUUAGCGGAAUAUGAUGGAUUCGUAAACCCUAGAACGAUAAAGCUAGAUACGAUUGCUGUCUGGGCGAGAAUCCUCAAACUACCGGAUAACUUCCUUAUUCCGGCAGCUAUAAGAGGCAUGUGCAGAAGAAUGGGUAAAAUCUUGGAAGUUCAGACUACCCUCCCAGCAGGGUUUGUAGGAGAGUUCGUGAGAGUUAAGGUGGAACUGAAUGUUGGCAGAAAGCUCAUUAGAUUUGUGUCGGUGACUAAAGGAGAGAAUACUGAUUACUAUCAGGUUCAGUACGAGAAAAUUCCAUUUUCUGUGGCAAUUGUGGAAUGUUAG